UACGUAGGGGGCUAGCGUUGUCCGGAAUCAUUGGGCGUAAAGAGCGUGUAGGCGGCCCGGUAAGUCCGCUGUAAAAGUCAAAGGCUCAACCUUUGAAUGUCAGUGGAUACUGCCGGGCUAGAGUCCGGAAGAGGCGAGUGGAACUCCUGGUGUAGCGGUGGAAUGCGCAGAUAUCAGGAAGAACACCCGUGGCGAAAGCGGCUCUCUGGAACGGUACUGACGCUGAGACGCGAAAGCGUGGGGAGCGAACAGG
rnacentral:rRNA from 1 species